UACGAAGGGGGCUAGCGUUGUUCGGAAUCACUGGGCGUAAAGCGCACGUAGGCGGAUCUUUAAGUCAGGGGUGAAAUCCCGAGGCUCAACCUCGGAACUGCCUUUGAUACUGGGGAUCUCGAGUCCGGUAGAGGUGAGUGGAACUGCGAGUGUAGAGGUGAAAUUCGUAGAUAUUCGCAAGAACACCAGUGGCGAAGGCGGCUCACUGGCCCGGAACUGACGCUGAGGUGCGAAAGCGUGGGGAGCAAACAGG
rnacentral:rRNA from 1 species